AUAGAGAAACAAAGUGAGUUUUAGGGGUGGCGUUCUCAGGGAGAGCAGAAUGAGAUUCUGUUUGACUCUGAAGCUUAUCUUAUUAACCCCUCUCUUCCAGGAAUUUUAACAGCUCACAUCUCUCGAAUACUCACACGCCAGUCACUCUUGAGGUGCUUCGUGAGAACUUCCACAGCAUCUCUGUAUGAUAAGUACGGCCAUGUGACUAACUGAGGACGUAUGUAGGGUUUUGGGAACAUCUCCUUAAAAGGUAACAGACACAUGCUUCUUUCCUCCUAUCCUUCCUGUGGCUGCCUGGAAUAUGGAUGUAAUGG
rnacentral:lncRNA from 1 species